AGCAAUUACAAACCUGUCUGGGUGGGAAUGCUCUGUGUUGUAACUACUUAGCUGAAAAAUAUUUGAAGACUAGUAUCUGGUGAAGGCAACUUCAGAACUGUGCUCACUGAGGAAGAAUAAAAUGCAGAAGAUGCAGGAAUUCAAAUAGAGUGUGUGGCAAGACUUUGAUCAAGAGAAAGAUGAUCUCAAAGAGCUGGCUUGAAUAUUCAAAGCCAAGAAUGUACCUGCUGGAUUGAGGCACUGAUCACCAAGCUCAGUCUAAGUGGACAAAGACUUGAAGUGAAUUCCUUUCCUUGCCCUUCAGGUUUUCUACUUCAGAGACACUGCACUGCUCCAUAACACUCUUUGACUAAAAAAUUCUUUGUGGAUAUAUAACUCUUGAUAUUUAAAUGCUUUAUGACUUUCCUUUCUAAGUGUUGUAAAUAUUUAUUUAGCUUUAUGUAGUUCUAGUCCUACAAAUCUUGAAACUUUUAAUGUUCAAAACAUGGAUUUAUAUGAAAGCUAAUAAACUGUUGUAACUGGCUCAGUUUACAAAGAGUUGUAAUAAUUAUUUCAGAAUUAUUUUUUUAAUAUCUAACAGGAUAUGUCUACAAGCAAGUAAACUAGAUUUUAUUAUCAUAAUAAGGGGCAUUUGUAACUAAGAUGUAAAGUAAAAAUGAAUAAUGAUGUAAAAAAACCACUAGCAGUGAUAUAUAAUUUUUACAAUUUUGCCCUAGUUCUUAUAAAUUUCAAAAGAUGCUCAUGAGCACUUCAUAUGCUUUGUGUGGAAAAAUAUAGUUAUUUGUUUUUUCUGUUCUUAAACUUCAUAAGCAAUAGUUUGUAAAUUUAAGUACUAAUUUGUCAUGGAAAUUAUCUGUACAUUUUAUUCCUAAGAACAUUUUUCAAUAAAUUUACAACCUUUUCCCAUAAU